GAGAAACCUAUUUCAUCCAUUUUGAAUUCAAGUUGAAGCAACAAAAUGUGGAAUAAGUCAAGGGGUAAGAAUACUUUCUGACUGUGAUUAGCUGGACCCUUUUCUACAACGUGAACACAAAAACAGUGAGGCAAAACAAAAAGCCUUUAGGCUAUUCAAAUACAAAAUACUAUUUAAAGCCAGUACUUACUCAGAGCAGAGCCCGGGAAGGGAGUUUGGCUGCUAGAUCCGAGCGCCGUGGCCUCCUCUAUCUGGGCUCCUGAACCUACGACUUGGUCCUGCUGUAGCUCCUCUUGUUCUGUGUCUGACGCAGGACGAGACGGCUCGGUCUGAAAUCUGGACCUCUUCGCUGACCUCGUCUUCCCCGACCUCGCGUUCGCUGACCUCGCCCUGACACUCGUCGUCUUCUGCCUUUUCAGUAGCUGAUACCUCUUCCUCGCUCUAUUCAGUUCCGAGGUCAGCUUCAGGUUGUCCUCUCUAACGGAUUGGAUGAUCGCACUUCUCUUGGUCAGGGCCUCAUCGCGCUCUUGCAAAGCUUUCCGUAGCCUCAGGAUGGGCGCCUGGCAGUGGCAGGAAUAAUCUCCGCAGCUCACGUCCUCCUCCUCCUCUUCCAAAGGAGACAGCAGUGAAUCUAAAGAGUUGUCCUCCUCUUCCUGCUUUGUUUCCCACUCCACAAUAUCCAAAUGGGUGGCCAGCGGGACGACAGGGUUGGACGCCCUCAACGUGGCCAGCCGCUCCAUGGUCAGCCGUCUCCUGAGUUCCUCUAAAGCCCGUCUCCUCUGCGAUCGGUCGAGCUCUGUGUGUGACUCCAUGUGCCGGUCCAGCCGGCUGGCAUGGGUGGAGCAUCCUGUCACUGGGCACGGCUCCUGCCUGAUGUUGACACGGCCCGACUGCCAAUUACAAAGGAGGAUCCUCUCCUCCGUGUUCCUAACAUUGUGCGUGUGCCUCAGGUGCUGACUGAAGCCGACCACAACCUUAGGGCAAAGCGGACAGGAACGCACUGCAGAGCGCACCGGAGUUCUCUCUAUUAUCUCUCCCUCCUCCUCCUUCACUCCAAACACUGCAUCCUAUAAAUCAAAUCACAUGUUAUUUGUCACAUACAGGUGUUCAGCAGAUGUUAUUUGUCACAUACAGGUGUUCAGCAGAUGUUAUUUGUCACAUACAGGUGUUCAGCAGAUGUUAUUUGUUACAUACACCUGUUCAGCAGAUGUUAUUUGUCACAUACAGGUGUUCAGCAGAUGUUAUUUGUCACAUACAGGUGUUCAGCAGAUGUUAUUGCGGGUGUAGUGAAAUGCUUGUGUUUCUAGCUCUGACAGUGCACUAAUAUCUAACGAUACACACAAUCUAAAGGAAGGGAAUUAAGAAUAUAUAAAUAUAUGGACGAGCGAUGUCAGAGCAGCACAGACUGAGAUACAGUAGAAUAGGAUAGAAUACAGUAUAUACAUAUGAGAUGAGUAAUGCAUAGACUGAGAUACAGUAGAAUAGAAUAGAAUACAGUAUAUACAUAUGAGAUGAGUAAUGCAUAGACUGAGAUACAGUAGAAUAGGAUAGAAUACAGUAUAUACAUAUGAGAUGAGUAAUGCAUAGACUGAGAUACAGUAGAAUAGGAUAGAAUACAGUAUAUACAUAUGAGAUGAGUAAUACAUAGACUGAGAUACAGUAGAAUAGGAUAGAAUACAGUAUAUACAUAUGAGAUGAGUAAUGCAUAGACUGAGAUACAGUAGAAUAGGAUAGAAUACAGUAUAUACAUAUGAGAUGAGUAAUGCAUAGACUGAGAUACAGUAGAAUAGGAUAGAAUACAGUAUAUACAUAUGAGAUGAGUAAUGCAUAGACUGAGAUACAGUAGAAUAGUAUAGAAUACAGUAUAUACAUAUGAGAUGAGUAAUGCAUAGACUGAGAUACAGUAGAAUAGGAUAGAAUACAGUAUAUACAUAUGAGAUGAGUAAUGCAUAGACUGAGAUACAGUAGAAUAGGAUAGAAUACAGUAUAUACAUAUGAGAUGAGUAAUGCAUAGACUGAGAUACAGUAGAAUAGUAUAGAAUACAGUAUAUACAUAUGAGAUGAGUAAUGCAUAGACUGAGAUACAGUAGAAUAGGAUAGAAUACAGUAUAUACAUAUGAGAUGAGUAAUGCAUAGACUGAGAUACAGUAGAAUAGGAUAGAAUACAGUAUAUACAUAUGAGAUGAGUAAUGCAUAGACUGAGAUACAGUAGAAUAGGAUAGAAUACAGUAUAUACAUAUGAGAUGAGUAAUGCAUAGACUGAGAUACAGUAGAAUAGGAUAGAAUACAGUAUAUACAUAUGAGAUGAGUAAUGCAUAGACUGAGAUACAGUAGAAUAGGAUAGAAUACAGUAUAUACAUAUGAGAUGAGUAAUGCAUAGACUGAGAUACAGUAGAAUAGGAUAGAAUACAGUAUAUACAUAUGAGAUGAGUAAUGCAUAGACUAAGAUACAGUAGAAUAGUAUAGAAUACAGUAUAUACAUAUGAGAUGAGUAAUGCAUAGACUGAGAUACAGUAGAAUAGUAUAGAAUACAGUAUAUACAUAUGAGAUGAGUAAUGCAUAGACUGAGAUACAGUAGAAUAGGAUAGAAUACAGUAUAUACAUAUGAGAUGAGUAAUGCAUAGACUGAGAUACAGUAGAAUAGGAUAGAAUACAGUAUAUACAUAUGAGAUGAGUAAUGCAUAGACUGAGAUACAGUAGAAUAGUAUAGAAUACAGUAUAUACAUAUGAGAUGAGUAAUGCAUAG
rnacentral:lncRNA from 1 species